UCGGCCAGCCACAGCUCCAAGAAUACGCGGAGGAGGUGGCCCGGGUCGGCGUCGGCGCCGUCCGACGCGGGCCACGGGCCCGCUUCCAAGUGCGUCUGCGCGCUGGCCACCCACGCCGGGUCCUUCAAGUGCCGCUUCCACCGCACCAACUCCCAGGGCCACGGCCACGGCCAGGGCCAGGGAAGUCGCCCUUCUUCGCCCCCUUCACCGGCCGCGGCCAACGCGGUGCCGCGGCACCCGGCCUCGCCGUCCUCGUCCUCCGGCACCGUCGCGACCCAGUGA
rnacentral:rRNA from 1 species